UAUUGGAAUGAGGCGGCGAGCGGAGCGCCGGAGAGCCCGAGCCCCGGCAGCUAGCGGCGCAGGGCUGGAAAAACUCGCCGCAGCUCCUAAAGUGACAGAAGACCAGCAUUGCUGAAUCCCUUGAAGACUUAUGAAAGUGUUCUUGCUUGAACUCCCUGGAUGUCUGUAGAAGCAAAGGUGGGAAACAGCACAUGAGCAGCAGACAGUGACAGGGUUGGCUCCCAAGACUUCCUGCUACUGCGCAUUACUGCUGGAUUGCUGUGGAAAUGAAUGGAGAACAGCAGCAUGAUGCAGAUGCUGGGUCUGGUGUGGAAGAAGCAGAAUUCAAUUGGGAUGAGUAUCUAGAAGACACUGGAGCAACUGCAGCCCCCCAUGGGUCUUUUAAACACGUGGACACUAGUUUGCAGAAUGGCUUUGCCCCUGGUAUGAAGCUGGAGGUUGCUAUCAAGUCUGACCACAAUACCUACUGGGUAGCCACCAUCAUCACUACCUGUGGGCAGUUGCUCCUAUUACGCUACGAUGGCUAUGGGGAAGACCGCAAGGCAGACUUUUGGUGCGACAUCAUGACAGCUGACUUACAUCCAGUUGGUUGGUGUGAGCAGAACAAAAAGAUUCUCAAAGUGCCUGAAGGUAUCAAGGAUAAGAUAUCUGACCAGGAAGAAUUCCUUCGACAGACACUGACAGGAGCAUGCAGUGCUCCUGCUAACCUGCUAGAGGGUCUUCACAGAGGGAAGAAUCCCUUGGAUCUCAUUGCACCAGGCUCCAGACUGGAAUGUCAAAACUCCCAAGAUUCCUUGGCAGCCUGGAUUGUCAAGGUGGUUGAAAAUGUUGGUGGGAGGCUCAAAUUGCGCUAUGAAGGGUUGGUAGAUUCUGACCAGUCUGAUCAGUGGAUGUUCUACUUGGAUCCAUUUCUUCAUCAAAUGGGAUGGGCAACUCAACAGGGAUAUGACCUCCAACCUCCAGCAGCUAUCCGGUCCCUGAAGAGUGAGGCAGAAUGGCAGGACAUCUUGACAAAGGUGAAAGAGGAAGAAGAUGGGUCCUCAGUACCCACCGAUCUCUUUAAGGACAAGCCAGUGAUUGGAGUGCAUUCAUUCACUGCGAGCAUGAAGUUAGAGGCUGUGGAUCCAGUAGCACCUUUUGUCCUCUCUCCUGCUACAGUUGUUAAGGUGUUCAAUGAAAAAUAUUUCUUGGUACAAAUUGAUGACUUACGACCAGAAUGCACAACCAGCCGGUCAUACAUUUGUCAUGUCAACAGUGCUGGUAUCUUUCCUGUGCAGUGGAGUCUGAAAAAUGGUUUGCAUCUCAGCCCUCCACCAGGUUAUCCCGGGCAGGACUUUGAUUGGGCGGACUACCUCAAACAGUGCGGUGCUGAGGCUGCUCCCCAGAGCUGCUUUCCUUUGCUAACUUCCAACCAUGGAUUUAAAGAGAACAUGAAGCUUGAGGCUGUGAACCCUGUUGAUCCAGGGGAAAUUUGCAUUGCCACAGUCACCAAAGUGAAAGAGUCCUACCUUUGGCUUCAGUUGGAGGGCUCCAAAAAGCCAGUUCCUGAAUGCAUAGUGAGUGUGGAAUCGAUGAAUAUAUUUCCAGUGGGUUGGUGUGAGACCAAUGGAUACCAGCUGAGACCUCCUCGCAGAGCUAUAGUGAACAAACAGAGGAAAAUUGCUGUGGUUCAACCAGAGAAACAAAUUUUGUCUUCAAGGGCUGUCCAUGAGAGGCUGAAGAACCAGGAACUGAAUUCCACUGACUCAGUUGUAAUUAAUGGAAAGUACUGCUGUCCAAAGAUCUACUUCAACCACCGGUGCUUCUCAGGACCUUACCUUAACAAAGGGAGAAUUGCAGAGCUGCCUCAGUCUGUGGGACCGGGGAACUGCGUUCUUGUCCUUAAAGAGGUUCUCACUUUAUUGAUCAACGCAGCCUACAAACCUAGCCGUGUCCUUCGAGAACUCCAGCUGGAUGAGGAUGCUGCCUGGCAUGGGCAUGGAGAGACCCUGAAAGCAAAGUACAAAGGGAAGAGUUACCGUGCCACUGUGGAGGUUGUGAGAACAGCAGAUCGGGUGGCAGAUUUCUGUAGAACAACCUGCAUCAAACUGGAAUGCUGUCCAAAUCUCUUUGGCCCACAGAUGGUGCUAGAUAAGUGUUCAGAGAACUGCUCUAUCCUGACAAAGACCAAAUACACGCACUAUUAUGGGAAGAGGAAAAACAAAAGGAUUGGCCGACCACCAGGUGGCCACAGUAAUCUGGAAGCAGGCAUGAAGAAAACAAGCAAGAGGAGGAAGAGACGAAAACACUUCUUUGUCCAUAAGAAAAAACGUUCUUCCACCUCAGUGGACAGCUCUCCAGUUGGCUCUCCCCAGGGCAGUGGGGGAGAGGAAGAGGAUGACCAGGAUGACAUAGAUGAAGAAUCAUUGAGUGAGGACAGCACCUCAGAGCAGCAAGAUGAACUGCUUGAAGAGUCAGAAGUGUCGGAGAAGAAAUCGCGGUCCUCCUCUCCCACGCAAAGUGAACUGUCCCACUGCCUGGCUCAGGAUCAAGACAAGCGGAAGAGGAAGCUCCGGACCUUUUCCUUCUCUGAUGAUGAAAAUAAACCCCCUUCACCAAAGGAACUAAAGAUUGAAGUUGCCGAAAAGCUGCAACUGGACAGUAACCCUCUGGAAUGGAGUGUGGCUGACGUCGUGCGGUUCCUUAAAUCCACAGACUGCGCCCCAUUAGCCAGAAUUUUCCUGGAUCAGGAAAUAGAUGGUCAGGCGCUUCUCCUGCUCACCCUCCCGACUGUUCAGGAGUGCAUGGAUUUGAAACUUGGGCCAGCCAUUAAACUUUGCCAUCACAUCGAAAGGGUCAAACUUGCUUUUUAUCAGCAGUUUGCUAACUGAGGGGUGGCCAAAUGGAAGUGGACCUUUGGAAGCACAACUGCAGCAACAUAUUCCUCCCUUUCUGGUGGGGAAAGCCAAAUGGGGUUAAACUGAGGCUCCAGUUCUGGUGACCUACAAACAUCGUUUCAGCCACAGUUUUGCACUUUGAGGGAAGGAAGACAACAUCUGGAGCAAAAUGUCAAUGCCAACAUAGCCGCUACCCUACCAGCUGGCUGCUAGCUUGGGAAGACAAGUCUCUCAUUCUUUUGAUCACGUCUUUUUUAACUUUUAAAAAAUGGUUACAGAAACAUUUCCUAUAAGGAGACAGACGUUUCAAGAGUUCUGGUGGUGCAGAAUUAAAAAAGACUUGACCAACAUGCAACAUCAGGCUGGACGAUCAUACAGAACAAGGUUUCCAAGGCCCUCUAUUAAGUGAAGGAAAAGCUGACUCCAAACUCUGUUGACAGCUCUAUAGCCAAGACUGCUGCAUUUCCCUCCUGAUAAAAAUGGGUGUGCUUAGGUAGAUGUCAGAAAAGUACAGAACUUAAACAUAGAGAGAGAUUUAACAAACUUUUUUAUCACAGAGUCAAGGAUUUUGUUUUAAAGUAUAAAUUUAAUACUCCAUUUGUCAGCUGCUUCAGAGGCCUGUGAAGUAGCUACAGGUCACCGUGGGCAUGUUUUAUAGGCUGAUUUUUCUGCCUCACUUUGGAAGGCAUUUGCAGUCUGGUCCCAAUGGGAUCCACUUUUAUUUGAGUUUUCAAAAGGGAUGUUUUCCAUUGUUUGUGCAUAAUGUUUCUAUGAUGCACACAUGUUCUUGUACACUUCACUUCCUGGGGAAAAUGCACUCUGUCUUUAUUGCUAGAUUUAAAGGGGAUAUUUGGGAUUGUCUAUGGAUGGUCUUUUCAUUUGAUACUGUUUUUUAAAAGAUCCUUUUCCAUCUACAAUACAAAGAGGUAUUUUGGCUUAUAUUUGUUGAUCUUACACUGACAUGACUUGAAAUAGACUCACGUGCUACUGUAGUUCCUUUGUUUCUGCAGAAUUAGAUAGCUUUGAGUAGCUUGUUGGGUGAAUCUUGGCAUUAGGCUAAUCAUAUCUUCAUCAGCAGGAAUUGCUGUGACCUGAACUGGCUUCAGGGAUUGUACUGUAUCCACUUGCCAUAAGUGUUGCAUGGGAGAUGGGCAAUGGUGUUUUGCACGUCUCUAGGGAAUCUUCACUACAGGAAAAUGAGCUCCUUAUUAGGUACCACUCGUAUAUACAGAGGUAAAGGAGGCUCUUCCAUGGCUGACCAGUUGAGGAGCACAGGAUUUACUUUUCCUGCCUCCCUCACUUCUUUUCAUAUUAUAAACUUGAGUGGCUGCAUUAUACAGUCUGAGAUUAGCACAUCAUAGCUUUAGAAAACUUUGGUGCUACCCGCAUAGCAUUUACUUACAGGGCUACAUUUAGCCAUGUUGAGCAAGCAGAUUUCAUUAGCGGGCUGGUGUAUUGUACACCAUGCACUAGAAGAAAAUGAGCCCAUAGCAGAGAGGUGCUUGGUCUCUAAAAAUGUGCAUGUUAUAACAUCCCCUGGAUGGCAAGUUAACAUGUCCUAUUUACUGUCAGGUUCAAGAGCCGCUUUUAGCCGACUCUCUCAAACAGGCCGAGAUGAAAGGAAAGAGACCCUUCCAAAAAGGAAAAGGUACAAGGCUGAUCAUACUGAUCUAAAGCUACUUGCAUUUUUUUAAAAUGCUAGAAAAAAAAUGAAAGUAGCUUUCUGGGGAACCAGGUAGAAAGCCAUUCGCAUUUGAGGAUGGUACAGAAUGCCAGUGAGCUUACUAGACCCUUAUGGAUUUGAUAAAGACUGCAUGUUCGAUGGGACUCAGGUGUAGUUUUUAGAUUUCUGCCUAUCACAACACUAAGAGUUCUCUGUUGUGGUGACAGACUUUGAUGCUCGAUUUCUUAUUCCCAAUUCUAAUGAUAUAUAGAGAGAAGAGAGGACUGUUAAGUUGCUAAGUUCAAAGCAAUAUAAAUAUAUUUAUUACUUGCAGGACUUAGCACUCCAUUUUUCCACAUGAUGUACAAAGAUUUCAUAUAUAUAACUAGAAUGAGGCUUGAUUGGCUUAUGAGAUCUUGAUGGCAGCCAAAUAGGUUCUGCAAACCCAUCAAAUUCUGCAGUUUAAGAUUGGCUAGGAAAUGGAUGCCUUCGCAAAUCCACCCCACUGUUGUGUUCAAGACAAAAGAGCAAGGCAAGUAUGUUGGCAAAAGAAAAGUCACUGGAUUAGGUAACCUUAUCAUAAAGCCAAAAAUAUACUAUACAUAGCUUCUUCCUAACCAGCUGCUGUAGGACUGGUUACUGCCCUACUGUGAGUUUUGAAUACAUUCACUAAGCACAAAGGCCCAGUCCUCAAAGGUAUUUAGGCUUCUAACUUCCAUUGAAAUGAGUGGAAGUUAGGAGGCUAAAUACCUUUGAGGAUCUGGACCAAUGUAACUGAGUAUGUCUGAAGACUUCUUAAAUGUUGGUUGAAAACUCCAUUUCAAAUUAAUGAUGUGCUGAGCCACAUUUUAGUGUGUUGCCUAACUUUUCCCAAAUCAUACAAAUAGCCUUGUUUUUGAAGGCAGCCUUAUGGGUGAAAGGUUAGAGUGGGUCUUGGAUACACUAAUUACGGUAUAAGCUUCAUUAUUGUAAUUUGCCUUUUUUUUAAUAUCAUAUUUGAAAACUGACCAGCAAAAAUGGAGUAUAAGAUUGGUAGGACGUCAGUAUCUCCAUGCUGGAUUCUAGCUCACCAUAAGUUGGAUCUGUCAAUGUGCUGAAGCAUAUCACACACGGCAGAUGGAAUUGUUUGAUUAGAAGACAAACAAGGUCUGUUUAGUCUCUCACCAAUGGUGAGAGGCUGAGCCCUAAGCCAUGGAAGUCAGCAGAUCUCACUCUGACAAACUUCAGAAGCAGAGGAUCUAAGUGACUUAGCACAAUCAAGCUGACACCUGUGAUUGGCUCUGCUGUCUCAUGAGUACCUGUGAAAGUCUCCAGCAUUGCCGAGGGUAAGGAAAACAACUCAGAUCUGGCUUUAGUGGUGAGGCUGGAGCUCAGUCAAGCAGGGUGAUGCAUAGAUGAGUUUGUGAAGUCCAGGAAAAAAAUGAAUACCUGCCCCUUCCAGAAGUCGUCUAGCUCUAGUUUCCAAGAAGCCUCAUGGGAAGAUAUUUUCUGUGUUUCUCUUGAGGUCUCAUGUUUCUCCUCCCUGUUCUUUUGUUUGUUUUUACUUCUGUUAAAGCCUUUUGUAGACAAUCAGAGGUCUGCUGGGAGACUCCAUCCUGGCUAGUAUCACCAUGCAUAGGCCUCUUUCUUAUACUAAAUCAUUGGAAUUGAUGCACUUUUCCUGUAUUUUGCCUUUUUAAAUUAGCUGCUUGUUCUUCAACCAACCAACCAACAACAAAACCCAAUUUAAAUGCAUAUUGUGUUUGUGUCCUUCCUGCUUGCUUUUUUUCAUUUUUUAUAUAAUAUAUGCAUUGAGAGUGAAAUAUGAAAUGGAGAAGAAAUAUGCACAAGAAAAUAUGCCUAUCUAUUCCCAUCUUUUUUGAUAGGUAUAGCAAUUUAAUCAAAAAGGUUUUUAAAAAUAUUUUGGAUGAAUAUUUUGCUUCUUUCUCUGUAAAUAAGAGUGUACAGAAGUUUGUGGUAUAUUAUGACAGUUUUAAGUGGUUGCAAGAAAAUUAAAAAACAAAACAAAAAACA